CAAGGUACCACAGGACAAGCUGGAUUGAUGGGUCAAAGUCAGCUGUGUGUAGCUGAACAAGGCCAAGUACCAGGUCCUGCACUUGAGUCACAACAACCCCAUGGUUUGGUCUCUUCUCCCAGAUUUCUUUACCAGAAGAGUUGUCAAGCAUUGGAACAGGGAAACUAUGGAGUCACCAUCCUGGAGGCUGACACUUGAAUGAUCCUGACUGCCUUGCAUCUACAAAGGACUGUUACCACAAACUCAGAAGUGAUGCAGAGACAGUCAGUCCAGAUCAAGCAGCUGGACAUUUUCUGAAGAUACUGUGGCCCUUCAAGAGCUCACACUUGAGCACGUGUUUUUAAAAAGGAGGAGGAGUAGGGAGAGACCUUAACCCCCAACCCUUUUCUGCUGCUGCAGGGGCAGAACAAGAAGUUAAAUUGAGCCCAGGAAAAGAUGGGGAGGAGAUGUAUGGGAACAUUUGGAGUUCUUUUCCAGCAGAAAGAUAAUAAAAGGAAUUCAGGUAGAAAGUGCAAACCAGAAAUUUUGCAGUCAUAACAGUUCUGAAUGUAACCCAACUUUAAGGUGAUUUACCAGCCUGCCCUGCAGCAUAGAACAAAGAAACCCAGAUCCUGGUGUGGUAUCAAGUCCCAGCAGAAGUCUUGUAAUAGAAAUCAUAUAAUCUUUCACAAAUGACUGCCAGAUUUUUUAACAGGAGAGACGGAAAAGAAAGAAAAAAGCUUUAAUGAACAGAUGAGCAGGAAGCCCCAGAUGAAUCCUGCUGUUCUUCAUGUCAUUUACUCUGUUCUUUGUAUGCAGAAGAUAAAAAUGCUGUACAGAAAAGGAUGGAACCACGAAAAAGAACAGAGUUGCUUUCAUAGCAUUUCUAACUUGGAAUAAGGAAGAUAAUUCUAGAAAAAUGACAGUUCACCCAUGAGCAGUAGGAGCUCAAAGAAAGGACGUGGAAUUUAAGUGAGAAUAAGUGUGUGGGAUCUUUUGUUUUAAACACUUUGUAUGAAUGGUGUUACUCUGUCAAGUCAUAGCAUGACUGUUCACAUCUAGGAGGAAAUAUAAAAUAUUGAAGUGACUUGCUGGCAGGAGUUGUUGAUAAUGACAGAUUUGUUUAUAAGUGUCUUCAUAUUCUUUUUUUUUUUUUUUUUUAGUUUUGCAGUAUGUGAUGUUGAUAUUCUGGGUCAUGAUUAUGAAGAUGUUUUAUAUGCAAAUACACCUAUUUCUAGAGCAUCUAGAAUGUAUAUGUCCAUAUACAUGACUGGUUUCCAUAUUAGUGACUUCUUGACAGAAGUUUAGCUACAGUAAUUCUAUUUAUGUUGAAGUUGUCUACAGGAAAUUUAUUGGAAGUAGAAUUGCAAUGAAAGAAUAUCUUUCAUGCACAAAAUUACGAAGUUCCCUGCAACAGUGAAUACACCUGAAUACAAAAGCUGUCAACAGGCUGUCUCUAGGAAUAAAGUAGGUAGCUGCUUUAGGUGAGCAGAUUACAUGGGCCAUGGUGGUGUUGCUGCUUAUCGUGUCUACCUUGAUCCUUGAAGGCAAGUGCUGGGGGCUGCUGUUUGGUCAUCAUGAUGUAUCAGGGUGUGCAGCAACAUGGUCACUGCUGAAGAGCAAGCAAUAUCGUCCUAUUUUUCCACCCUGAAACUAGAAACUACUACCUUCAUUUGCCCUGACUCUGUACUUUCUGAUAUUUUCUCUUCAACUGUCUGAGGCUGUUGCCCUUCCCUUAUUCCCACUGACUGGCAUCACUACCUUUUGCACGAGGAGCUCCAUCCUGGAUUCUGGGCAACAAGCCCACUGGGUUGAAAAGCCAAUUUUGCAAAUGUGUUUCAGUGUUACCUCAAGGCAACUUUCCUGACGUUUUCAGUCUUUCUGAAAAUGAGGCGCUUAAUGCAAAAAUAACAAGCAACUAUACGUUUCACUGCAUUAGAUAAUUUUUACUGGAGUUUCUAAUUGCCUUUCAUUUUGCAUGAGGGAGUUCUGAAACAUCAAAUGAACUACAACACCACCUGCGAAGUUCUUCCUGCAAAUGUUAAGAUUAAAUGACAGGGAAAUAUCAACAGCAGGCAACUGCAACAGCAAUGAAGAAAAUGUUCUUUCUUAAGGUUCUCCAUGUUAUGUGCUUCUCAGAAUACCACCCAAAUAAGAUUGAGCCUUCAUGCUAUUACAGGCUGAAUUUUUGCAGAAUUUGAUUCCUCUGUAAGGAAAUGGACUGUGAAGACUUUCAGUUGAUCCUUGAAAAUAGCAGCAUAUACUGAAAUUUCAGUGCCAAGUUUAUAAAAAAACUGGAUUCUGUUAAUUCAAGAGAAUAAGUGACUGAAGAGCUGCCUGAGGGAAAGUGGGACACUUCACAGCAGGCCUUUGUAGAAAAAAAAUAAUCCCUUAACCUGGAACAUAUCUAUACAAAGGGAUGUGUCAGCCCUGGAAUCACAGCCUACAAGACCUUUUUGCUGCUGUCCUUUCUUAGAGUCAUAGCUUGUUCUAAUUUUCUGUAUACAGCUAACCUCCAUUUUUGUGUCUUUCAAAUUGUGAUUUUAAGUACUUGAGCAGUACCAAAGUGUGGAAAAAAAAAUAAAUUUCAUUGUCAGAUUAUAAAUGUACCAGUCUUGACAGAGUAGAAUUUGUCUGAAAUUUUAAACAGCUAAUGUAAGAAAGGCUAAAAAUUCCAGUGAUCCCCAGACAGAUAUAGUAGUGACAACUAUAUUGCAGGUUUUAAUUUCCUUCCAUGAUUUUAUAUAAUUGUAGACAAAGGGUGUCUGUGGGUGUUCUCCUGGCUUAAAUAACUGUUUAUCUUUGAGUCUAGAAUUAUUAAAAGUAUACCUAGCUGGUUCAGGCCAGUAAGUGCAUUGUGUUAAGUAGGUUAGUGCAAUUAUGUAGCUGUGAAACUGUUACAGGGCUUGCUUUUUACAGUGUUUAUAAAAUUAUUUUGAUUUUAAAAGUAGUAUUCACAUUAUUUGGGGUAUUUUUAAGAAAAACUUAGCUGAAACAUUAGCUCUGAGGAAUAACAACAUUUAAAUUUACUAUGGCCAUUUACAGUCAGUAAAAGCUCAAUUUUGUAUAUGACUGAACAUAGGGUAUUAUUUUUGUCAGUAACUUUCCUCAAAGAUAAAUGUGCCAUAAUAUUCUUGAUUUUAAGUUGACCAUAUGAUAAGUAUCUAUUGAAGUAAUGGUAAAAUGAGUUUAAAACUUGUCAAAGAAAAAAAAAAAUCUACUUACGGGUUAUCCAGGAGUAACACAAUGGGGUUCAGUUCUUUCUUUGGCCGGUAAUAAGCUCUGAGUGGAACAAUAAAGUUAUAUAAGCCAUUGCCAGCAGUUUCUGCUGCAACUAUAAUCAAUUUAUUUUUGAAUCCAUAGGCUUUGGCAUCUUCAUAGUAGUUAUGUUGGCAUCCCUAAAAUCAAAAUAAGAAACAAGUUCAGUGGAUGUGAAUAUUGUACCAGAUGACCUGAUAUCGACCUGGUUAGACAUAAAUAAAGACUUGGUGAUGAAAAGGAGGAGAAAAAGAAAACAGAGCUCAGCAAGUGCUGAAGAAACCUUAUCCCUAAGCAGAAAUGAGAAUUUACCUCUGUUCAGAUGCCAGAGACAAAUGAGAAUGCAGUGUUAUCCAGUAAGAGAAACUUCCUUUACCUUAUCCAGUCUUAGACAACAGAAGGGUACUUUUUCAUGCAGAAGAUGACAAAAUGUGGGAGAACUUCCAAUAUAUGGAGAGUAAGGAGGAUAGCCUUUGGCAUACCUAGAAUAGAACAAACAUUUUUCAGCAGAGCAAAUUACCGAAACACAGCUGACUGUACUACUAUUUUAUGGGAUGUUUAUACAUAUGUCUAAGUUUUGCAGAGUCAAGUAUGUGAAAUGAACUGUUUAAUAAAGGUCAAAGGAAUAUAUUUUGCUCUUUCCAUGAAUUCAGUACAGCUUAGUGAAAGCUGUCAUGCUUCUGUGGACCGAAGAAAUUUUGCUUCGGGUUUUGAAAAUAGGCUGAUAUAUCAUAGUGUGCUCUCCUAGUGUUUUGAACUGGAAACUUCUGAGGAAGCUAAAAAAGGAAAGAAAAGAAAUAGCAAUAACUGUAUUUCUGCUCUUCCUUCUAUAAUUUUACUUUCAAAUACUUAUCAAGAAUGAGUGAACCUUUUUGCUUUAUUAAAACACUUUCAAAAUGGCUGAAAUAAAUUUUAAAUGGCAAAUCCUCUUGCUGAUAAGAUGAAAUUUCUAAUUUGCCUUUGUUUUUUGCAAGAGGCCUUUUAAAUCCCGAGAUUUCAUUCUGCAGAUUUAAGAUGACUUGUUCUAUUAUUUUUUUCCUUAGAACUGUAUAAUAUUCCCUGGGGCUUCUCAUGCUUGCCAGUGUUGGAGAUGGGGAAACUCUGGUAGGUGAGCCACUGGCUUAAUUGUGUAUUUCACUUUUAACAUCCCUGUCAGCAAUCCCAAUAAACAUAAUUGCUUAUCUAUAUGGCAGUUACAUGAUUCAAUCUUCUGGGUUUAUCUGGGUAAUGCAUCAUUGCUCUCAGUAAUACGUUAAUGAGUAUUUUAAAUUAGACAUGAUAAUUUUGUCUCAUACUGUUUUUUUUGUCAUUCCUACAUUUGGAAGUCAGACACCUCACCCCAGCAUUCAACAAGCCUGUUAGAUGAUCUGAUUAUCAAUGCCUUCUCACGGCAGGAGUACUUAUCUGUUUCCAAAUUAGUUGAGUGCUAACUUAGUAACUACAGAAGGUAAGAAAAAUGGCCAUAAAAUAUGCUAUGAAAAAAAUUUCAGACACAACUAGAUCUUUUAUAACAGCAGAUAGAAAAUCUCCAGCAAAUGGAAGAGUUAACCUGUUGGGGCUUUCUUUAUUUCAAAAUAGGCUUAUGGCAUUCUGCUAGCAGAAAAUAGCAGGGAAAUUCCCUUUCAUAAAAGGGAAUAAUUCCAUAAUUGGGCUUUAUGGGUCUUGCUUCCUACAACUUCUCGGAUUGAUCUGCAUGUCAAAAAAAUCGAUAGAUGCCUUUCACAUAAUAGUGGCUUUUCAAAUUGUAUUUAAUACACAUACUCUAAGCCUGCAGAGACUUCAUCAUCUGAUGGGGUAGUUUCAUCUUCUGACUGGUCACUUAGCAGGUCACACGUCUGAAGUGAGGAUGAGUCUGCAACCUCCAAAACUGGUGCUAUGCUGGGCCGUCUGCCCUCCUUCCCUCCGUCAGGAGGAAGGGCCAGCGUAGCUCCGCUGGACGCUCGGCAUCCUGUGUCUUGUAGAUCGAUAGCCACGGUCCCUGAGGUAGCGUUGAAAACAUUUCCUCAGUGUGCUUGUCAAAACAUUGCAAUGAGAUUCCCAUAUUUAGUGGGUAUUCUAACUACAUGGCCAAAGACUGAAAGUAAUACUAUAUUGAUUGUGUUUAUUACAUUAAAAUAUAACAAAUAUUAAAACUAUACUUGAGGAAAGUAGCACUUUUUCUGACUGUUAAUAUAUGUUGUCUUGUUAACUACCCUUUUAAAAUGACACCUUAUAUAAGAAUCCAUACUAAUAUACAUCAACAACCUGUAGAUUUUCCUAAGGGCAUUUUUUUAAUCAAAGACGCUUACGAAAACUUACUACAGACAACCAGGUAGGAAUGCCAAAGUACUCAUGUGAUUUACCCAAUUGUUUUGCUUUGCAUACACUUUAAUAUUACUUUAUUAUACACCAUUCCUAACCAGUUAAUACCAUAUUGUCAAGUAAAAGAAAAAGAUACCCAAAUUCCAUUUGUUUUGGUUUUUGUUGUUGUGGGAUUUUUGUAAAUAUGAGGGCAAGUGUUUAAUAUUUUUACAUGUUUUAGUUUAUUUACAUGAUUAUAGGUUUUUAAAAUUUUAGGAAUAUGGUUUAAAACAUACUAAUGUACGAUAUAUUGAAUAAGAAUUUGUUGCGAGGGUUUUUUUAUUUUACUUACCCAUGCUGGCUAUUAUACUGUGUACUGGUAGCCUGGAAGCUCCAUGGUAAGAUAAUUUUGAUUCGUGGUUUUUUCUAUGCUUUUCUUGCUUCUUAAAAGCAGAAUUCUCUUCUUUGGUGAUAUUUAUAUAAAAGCAUAUAUCUGUAGAACUCAUGAUAUAUCGAGGACCUGGAUUCAGCAAAAUGUUUUUGUUAUCUUCCUUUCUAACACCAAUCAGACAGACUCCAAACCUUAAUUAGAAAAGGAAAGGCAUGGUUCAUUUUGCAUAGUCCUGCAUAUACCAGAAUUUCCAUUGUCAAAAAUGAACCUCGGGUAUAUUUUUAUAUUUUGCACAUUAUGAAAAUUUGCAGAUUUUUGGAUGACAAGUAUGUUUGAAAAAUGUUGUCUGCUAAAUAGGCCACUUCUGAUCAAGCAGUUUUUAUGAGCUCAUGAAUUCCUAGGCAGUUGAAUCAAAUGGUUUUCUUAAUCCUCAUAAUAUUCUUCUAAUGUUGUUCUGGUUGUUUUUUUUUUUCCUAUCAGAUGAAUAGUCCCUUCUGGGAAAAUAUUAGUAGAAAGAUGGAUAUAUAACAUGAAAAAGUAUUAAUCAUGUUAAAUUGUUGCAUUAUUCAUAAGUAAUGGAAACCAUUUUCUUAAUUCAUUUUUGCGAUUCACUUCUAGAAAUGUAUUCAAUUAGUGAUAGAAAAUAAGGAAUUACAGCAAAAACCCUAAUCUUUCACUCAUUAAGUAGGAGAAUAAACUCUGUAUUCAGGGUUUGAUAAAUGUUCAUUUUGUUAAAUAUAUACAAACAUACGCAAUUUGUGUUUAUUUUAUGUGUUUACCUCAUAGAGCAGCAUCAAACAAGUGAUGCAUCAUCUGGAACUUAAAGAAGAUAUGUUAUCAUCUAACGGAAAAAAAUAUGGGUUUAUUUCCGAACACUCACCAGAAUGUACCAUAUGCCACCUUUAAAUUGAACAUGUUCCAUAAAAUGGUUAUGCCACAAAGGAAGCCAGAUUUCCAGCUAAGUCCUAAAUAAAUAAAACCCCCACACCCUCCCCCUCAUUCUUUUCUAGAUUGUUUUGGGAUGGAAAAGGACUGAUGUUCUCAUAAAACCUCUCUAAGGUUCAUUUUUUUUUUCUGACUGUCCAGCUUAUGUUUUAUAUCCUUUACAUUCUACUCUCUCAGACUGAGAAGGCCUGUACAGAAUGAACAUGAGCUUUUACCUGACCAGCUAUAACUUACAGAAAUAUACCCAUAUGAGUGGCCAGGUACAGAGUAAUGUGUAGUACUGUGCAUUUGAGUGUAUAGCUGUGUUGCAGACAAAACAAGCAAUUAUUUGUUUGAACUUUUAACUGUUGACAGGAAAAGAAACAUACUUUUUAUGUGCAUGGAAAGAAGCAUAUGUGAAGCUCUUCCCCUCGUACUCAGCAAAAAAAGUACUUUCUUCCAGGUUAAUGUGAUACACUUCGUUACCAGAGCAUCUGCCAUACAUUUUCUGCCAUUGUUCUGGUGACUGCUGACACUCCCUGAAACAUGUACAGAUAAACAGAAUAAUUUAAAAUAUAAUGUAAAAUUCUUAUUAAUCGCAACAGCAUUUCAUGGCAAUAGAAACUACAAAUGUCUGUUAAAAAGGUCCAUUAGGCUGAUCUGAAAGAAAUAUUUGAGAUCAAAGCCUGGUAAUACUGUAAGUACAGAGAUUAUUUUAAUGAAUUAAAGAGCAUUUUCUACUAAGUAAUAGGCAUAUAAGAUUAUGUACUUUAAUAUCAGGAGAGAGAUAGCUGAAUUACUUUAAAUUCACACCAUAAUAAGUAGAUUCAUUGCAAUUUAAAGAUGACAGGUGAAACCACCAGCAUGCUCAUUCUACUUAUAAAGACAGUGUCUUCAGCUGCUUUGUAGCAGACUGUCUGGUUCCUGUUUGAAGUAGGUAAAGAAUCAUUAAUAAUAACUUACAUAAGAUAGAUUAAUUUCUCUUUGGUCACUUUAUCUGUAAGAAAGAUUUUUUUGCAUUUGCUUAUCGGUGAUCUUUACCCUAUGGACAUUUUUAGUUACUGUAUCUUGUAUAGUAUUACAAGUAUAUAUGUUCUUUUCUCUAGUGCAAGAGAAUAAGCAUAUGAUCCUUUACUCUGUGCAGCUAAUGUUCUUUAUCCAAAUGGAGUGUUUAGUGGAAAUGUUCCAAACCUCAGCUAACAACAAAACUUGUAGCCCUGGGGCUUCUGUGUACUUUUUUAUUAGAGUUUCAUGGUGAAACAAGGUUCUGCCUGCCUGAGUUUUACUGGAAGUAAUGGAUACAUAUAUAGACUAGACAUACAUAAGUGCAGAUAGGUCAUAAAACUGAUAGGUCAUAAAAAUGUGUUCUAUGUUUUGCCAGUUGGAGUGAAGAUCUCAAGGUAUUGGGAAAUGCUCCUUUAUGCUUAUUUGUACGUUUUCAAUAUCUUAACACAAUUUCUGUUUUUCUUCAGUUUACCAUGUUUCUCCACCUUCAGCGUGAAAACAUUUUGUUUCAGGAUGGAAAUAAGUAAACCAUUUUUACUGCAGCAGUAUUAACAAACAGUGCACUUGGUGUAGAACAGCAGAACUAGAAAUGAAAUUACAGAAAACUUUUCCAUAUUUGACUUUUCCCCCUAAAAUAAAACGUUCACCUGUUUAAAGUCUGCUUGGUUCCAGUUAGUUGUCUAAAAGCUUCCCAUGGAGCUGUUCUGCAAAGAUCACAUUAAGUACAAGUCAGUCAAUAUUUUGUGUCAUAAUACAAACCCUAAUAAAGUCCUAUUACUGAAUUAGAUAAUGAGAUAACAUUUAAAGAUAAGAUUAUAAUAUUGAGAUCAAUAAUAAGAUUAUAAAUAAGAUACAAGGUAGUCCGUUUCACAUGUCUGAAUUUGUGCUGAUGGAAAAUUUUCUGAUAGCUGUUAGUAAUACUGCUUUUCUUUUAUGUGCAUGUCAUAUGAAAUAACUAAAAAAGGCUCUGUAUUCUGUGCUUGUCAGAUAAAGGUAGGCAGAUGAAGAAUGUAUUUCAUCUCGGUGCUCAGGAGGUAUGGAAACAGUAUUUUGUUGUUGUCUUCUUAACAAAGCCUGGUACAGACAGUGCCAUUAAAAUCUUGACAUCUGUUGUUCUUGAUAGUAAAAGUUCUGGCAAGAAUUUAUGUUUUCCCCAUUCAGGGCACAGGGGAAUACUACAAAUGCCACAUAGAAGGUUAAAUAACUCUGCUUGUAAAUAUCAUGAUAUUACUGGUCCAUGGUAACUUGGAAAAAAGUUAGUAUUUUUACAAGACUUGUGUAGUCUUGUAAAUACUUGAAUAUCGUACCUAUAUUCAGGUAUUCCAUCUCUACAGAUAUAUUUUGAGAUUUACUUUUUAAAGCACCUGUCUGCCCACAACAUUUUAUUAAGAAUACCUUAUGAUUCCAAGAAUAUAGCAUAACAGAGAUAUACCAGAUGUGGUAACAUUAGUUUAGUAAAUACACAGAAGUGCUACUGUGACUAUGCAGUCUGUAGAGACACUGUAAUUCUGUAUCCUUCCAGCAGUGUGGUUAUAUUAAAAACCAUGUAUGUUUGUUUGCUUCUUAAUGUACAGGAACUGAAUAGCAAAUAAUAUAUAUGUUAUCAGAAAAACAUUUUUUGAGCUCAGUGAAACAGACCUGCAAAUUAACAUGUUGAAAUAGGGCUUUGCUGGUGUUCUUAAGUAGAACUUUGGCAUAGAUCCACAAUUCAAUCUCCUAAAUUAGAAAUACAAUUUUUUUUCAUAUUUUAUGUUGUAGAAGUGGCACAACAGCAUGCAACAAACUUAAAUAUUGGAGGAGGGGUGUCCCUUUGACAUUAUAAUGCCAUGACUGAAAUAUCUUGGUGCUUUUAUUGUGCAGAAAGUUCCUUCUUCUUUUUUAAAACUGCAGUUGUUUAGGAAUUCAGGGUAAGCUGUUUUCCAAACAAUAUCAGCUAUGACUUUUACAAGUUGUUUGGGUUUUUAUGGUACUAAAUACUUACUGUCCCCUAGAUGUAUGAACCAAUAGUGUGAUUAAUGUAGAAGUAGCUGGGCAUAUACAAUUUAGAGCUAGCAUAGCAUAUUUGAAUUCCUCUUCACACACAACAUGAUCUGUAGGAAAAAAAAAGAAGAUAUAAAUUGUUUUACAAAAAUACUUUCAAUUGAACAGAAUUAUCACUUCCUUGUCUAGGAAAUCAGUGAAGAUGUAUCAUCCACUUGCUUCGGGAUCUUCAUCUUCCACUUGAACCUUGGAAAUGAGAAUCACAAUAGUGAAGAGAAAGACAGGCUUUGAAUCAAACUUCACUUCUUGGGGACUUUGAACACAAGUUGAGAUGAUUUCAUAUCACAACCUGAGCUCUGCCAAAACCUCUGAGAUGUCCUUUCAACAUUCCAUAAAGCUAUGCCUAAUGUAAACAGAGGGUCUGCAUGGUAAUGACAGCUUCAUUUUUGAGCCAGGACCUGUGAGUGAUGAUGGUUUGCUGCCAGCCAUUGAAUGAUGAGGUUGUGUGCUCACAAAUAACAAAUGGAUAUUUUGAGCAAUGUUUUGCUGUUGACCUCCCAGAAGCUGCACAGCCUUGCCAUUGUUCCGUCACACGUGGAGGUGUUAAGGUACCUUGGAAUCACACACAGACAUCCUGUCUCUGCUUUUUCACUCGUUAAAGGUUAUUUGUGAAAUCCUGCUAAUGUGCACAUGAAUACAAACACAGUCAUCUCUUUCUUGUUGUUUUCUUCCUGGCUAAUUCUCUGACUUACACCUAAAUUGUAAAAGUCUUGAAAGUGCUGGCAUAAAAUAAGUAAUCUGUCACAGAUUUACAUGAACCAAGAUACCUUUGGUCACCCUGUGACCAAGUCUUACAGUGGGUGAAAUAAGAGCCUUCUUGGCUUUGAGAGACUGCUGUAAAACUAAGAAAACAGGACCAGAGGAAAGAGGGCGUUUUGCAUCAGGUGGAUUGCAAAACUGCAUUUCAGUACUUUUAUUGUUCCUUAGCUUAGUCCUUAGAUAUAAAUCCUCCCCUUAUGGGGAGUGGAAAUACAGCCAUCAUAAAAUUGCCUUAACUUCUGUGACAGGUAUAUGCAGCAAAUCAGGGCAGCAGAGCUUUACAUCCAUCACACUCUAGUAAGUGACUUCUCAUGGAAGCUGACUUGCCAGCAUUUCUCUCAUCUUCUCUACUCACUGAAAUUGGUGCAGAUCACAAGCAGAAUGGAUAAGGAUAAAAUGCUGCCCAUAAACUCAGGAAAAGUACAAAUUGUGAUUGCCCUUUACUAUUUUGCCACUAGGCAUGUAAAUUUUGGAUAGUUUCUGCCUAUAAUUGGUUUGCAUUUGUAACCACCAGCUCCUAAAUAAUACGUGCUCCAAGGAUUAAGAAGAAUAAUUUUUAGACAGCUUCUUAGCAUUAUUGGGCACUAAAGGAAACAUUUAUGGCAUAAUCACUUGAUGAGCAAACUAAAGAACAAGUCUCUAAAUUCAGUGGUGGCUCUGAUAGCUACUGAAUGUCAGUAAUAUGAAAAAUAAAAAAAGAUGAUGCUCCAAGAUAUUUUCAGCUUUAGAAACCAAAUCUUUUUGUAUUUUCUUUGAUAAAUGAUUUUAAAUUAUUUUAGUACUUUUAUCCUGAAUGUACUAAAAAUGCAGAGAACCUAAAACUCACUAGGAUAGAGUAUAUGAAAAUGAAACUAUGAAAACUGAAUAAAAACAUUGGAAAAACAUAAAGGAGAAUGCAAAUACAAAAAUUCAUCGUAUUCACUUCAAAUGGUUUCAGGGCAUUUUGCAAAGAUGUUCCAGUAGCAUCAGCGAGAUGGAUGACACAAGUAUGUAGAUAUCCAUAAUUAUUUUUUUUUUUUAAGUACUGUCUUGGCCUAGUUUUUUUGGUGUGCAGUUUUAGAGGCCUGAGACUUGAGUUAUACAUAUUGAGUAACUAUAGCUUUGGCAUCAAUGGGAAUUGUGUGCAAUGCAUUAUGGAUAGACAGAAAAAACUGUGCAACUGAAAAAUCAGUAUCAAAGAAUAAAGAUCACUUCAGAGAAUGUGUUUUUAAAUUACAGUGUGCCAGCGGACAACGGAAAAUAAGGAAAAUUUAAUUUCUGACUUGCACUUUCUAGAUAUUAGAGUUUGCUCAUAAAUUUAGGAAACAGGGCUUCCUGUGACAAUAACUAUGCUCUAGAAGUGUGUUUUUCUCAACUUUUUGCUUGUUCAUCAGUGUGGGCACAGGCACAUGAAUUUUAUACUGAAACAUUUAACUUAGUUACUUUUUGUAAUGAAUUAUGCCUAAGAGAAACUAAAAGUACUUACCUUGUAGCUCAGAUAACUUAGCAGUAGAGUUUCAAAGAGACUUAUUACAGCCACAGACACCUUCAGUGAAGUGAAAAAAUAUUAGUAUUAAUACUGGCUUCUAUAGAAUAUAUGCUAUUAAGCAUUACAAUGAAAAUAAAAGAUAAUAUAAAACAGCUUUUCUGUGUAUCCUCUGAAAAAAUCUCAGCUAUUAGCAUUUAGCAUGAAGCUUAGAUAUUGUUAUUUUUCUGAGUAAAGCACGGGCUACAUCUUGAGUCCCAUUUCUCUUUUCCAAGUACAACACUCCAGAGAUCCAGCAGCAUGGCCUUUCCACAGUGUUCAGAGAGCUGCAUACAGUCUGUCAGAUUGUUGCUCAAGUUUCAUUUGUCUGUUCCUAAAAGGUAGCAAGACCUUUUCACAGGACAGAGAAAGAGAAGAAGGAAGCUGUAUAAAAUGGAAGCCAGUCACCUCUUUACUUUCCUGUAAAGAUGUUAGGAAUGUGUGGAAAAGCAAACACUCUUCUUACUGAGUAUAAUUCAGAAAGUUGAAAAAUUAUACAGAUGAAUCAUUAUUGAUUUUAAUAUUUAAA